rnacentral:misc_RNA from 1 species
AUCUGGGAGAAGAAUAGACUCCUCUCUCACAGCCGUUGGGGCGAUGCACGCAAAUUCUUGCCGCCUUUGUGGAUCCCCCUCAGUGACGCUCUUUCACACAGACAAGAUGCGGGAAUACUAUCGCUGCCAUCAAUGCAGUCUCGUAUUUGUGCCCGAUCGCUUCAUGCUGUCAAGCGCGGAGGAAAAGGCCGUGUAUGAUUUGCAUGAGAACAUCCCUGGUGACGCAGCCUACGAGAAAUUUCUCUCCCGCGCAGCACACCCCCUCGCCGAUUACCUUUCGGUAACCGUAAAAAGAACGUCAAAUCAGCCUCAGGGCCUCGAUUUCGGAUGUGGACCUGCACCGGUUCUCGCUAAAAUGCUCUCCGCCGCUCCUUACAGCUAUUCCAUGGACAUUUUCGAUCUGUAUUACUUUCCAGAGGCCAGUUACUGCCUUGAACGCGAAGAUCACUACGACUUUAUCACAGCCACGGAGGUCGUGGAGCAUUUGCGGGAUCCGCUUUCAGUGUUUCGCACACUGUGGCGUUGUAUCCGCCCUGAUGGCGGGGUUUUAGUAAUUAUGACGAAACGCGUGCACGGCACAAUUGAGCGCUUUCGUAACUGGCAUUACACCCGAGACCCCACACAUAUUACAUUCUUCCACACGGCAUCAUUUCAGUGGCUCGCAGAUUCGCUGCCGUCCAAUGUUGAAACGUGCGAAACGCGGUUUGUUAGCGCCGAUGUUGCGCUUCUCAUAAAAAAAAAAAAACAGAUUCCUGAAUCUUUCAAUAUGCUGCAAUCUGGCCCUUAGUGUCAAAAAUUGGUAAACCUAUCGAACUGUCGAAGAAGAGCGCAGCAUUUUGGCGAAAAAAAAAAGAACUAUGCUCUUCAGCACCUGGAAUGCAU